rnacentral:rRNA from 1 species
UACGUAGGGUGCAAGCGUUGUCCGGAAUUAUUGGGCGUAAAGGGCUCGUAGGCGGUCCAUCACGUCGGGAGUGAAAAGCUGGGGCUUAACCCCAGUCCUGCUUCCGAUACGGGUGGACUAGAGGUAGGCAGGGGAGAACGGAAUUCCUGGUGUAGCGGUGAAAUGCGCAGAUAUUAGGAAGAACACCGGUGGCGAAGGCGGCUCUCUGGAACGGUACUGACGGCUGAGACGCGAAAAGCGUGGGGGAGCGAACGAGGAAUUGAU